AGGGUGACAUCUGUAAUUUCAAGCGUCGAAAAUGGGCACUUGCGUCAUAACGAAAAAAAGGUAAAAAAAAAAAGCAUCCACAUUGGGUCCGAAUCGCCAACUGUACUCCACUUCUUCUCCGUCAGAGAUCCACCGGCCAGCACCAGCAAAGCCAGAUCUCGGCCGCUUUUCCGCCGUAUUGGAACGCAGAUCAUGGUUGAAAUUAAAUGAAAAUAAAGAAGAAAGAAAACGGUCAAGCAGUGCAAGUGUAUGCAGCGAGUGUCAUCGCCCACUCCAACCUCAUCUUAACCUAUAUUGACCGUAAUUAAUAAAGAAACGAAAGAGACAGGAGGUGGUCCCCACCAAUCAUUUACCGCGAAAAGACAACCUUAUCCCCUACACUUCCUUCUAUUUACUAUACCA
rnacentral:misc_RNA from 1 species